rnacentral:lncRNA from 1 species
GGCUUGCAAGGAGCACUGAUGGAGACAAGGUGAGCUUGAAUCAGGAAGAUUUCAGCAUCUGAAGGGCAAAGAGACUGGUCAGUGAAGCACCAGCAGGCUGAAUGCUGUAUUUGAGAGACCACAAAGAAGAAACUGCAACAUAUCAGUGAAGGAAAAUGAGGAGCUGAAGAGAUAAGGAAUAUGUUACACAGACCAGGAAACUUCUGGCUGGGAUGUUGGAGAGGAUAUAAAGUGUGUUUUUCAGGCACACGCUGUCACAGUUGGGCCACAAACAUUGCUGGAUAAUCCCACUUGGAACCUGUGGGAAAAUGGGAAUAGAGAGGAACCUCUGCACAUCUUGCACGAGGCUGGUGCCCAGCCAGGGUCUACCUGCAGUGGAAGAGGUUUCCCUCAGGAAUGUGGCUGCAGACCUCCACUGCCACCCUGGACAUCAGCUUGCCUGAGCAUGUGGUGGCUGCCUCCUGAGCCACACUCACAGCUGGAACUUGUACCCAAACCUGAAGCAACUCUAAACCUGAAUUUCCUGAAACUUCCAAACCUGAAUUUCUCUCUAAAUAACUGGCACAAAGAUUUGGCUGCAGCCUCCACCUGGAGGACCAAAGGGGUUAUCAGACUCUGUGAAGAUAUGACCAAGGCUACCAUGUGA